CGCUUCAGAGCAUGAACACACUCCUAUGGGCAGACGAAGAGUUGUGAUUUUGAGACACCAGGGCAGCCAUGACUGUCAGGCACACAAUUAAGCAUCUGGCUUACCAACCCCUGCGCACUAGAAACAAACAUAUGCAGCAGAAAUGGGACAAGGCUUCAUAUGAAUUACACAGAGGAAAGGUGAGGUCAGCCAAACCAACAAUAAACACAACUCCACAAGAGACCUAUCGUCACCUUGUCAACAAACUGAAGACGAAAAAGG